GUUUGUCCCAGCUCCCUGGGGGUGAAACAAUCCGCGCCCAUAAAAGGGGCCCAAACCCGCGUUUUGGGAAGGAGGAAACAGGUCCCUUUCCCGGGAUCSGUUUCCCGGGAGGAAACAGGUCCCCGGGAUCGGGGCUUGUUCGCCACGUGUGAAUAACUCGGGGUUUUGUUCCUGCUGCCGUGCCAUCUCUUACGUUUCCCUCUUCUUUUCCAGGUGCACGGAUAAAGCAGCUGGUAAAGAUCCCAAAGAAGAGAAAGAGGAGGAGGAAGUCUCCGGUGUUCUCAGCCACGGCUCUCCCGUCAGCACGGCCAGGCCCAGCCGAAGCUGGCGCAGUAGCAGAUCGGCCACCGCUGCCCGCCAGCGUGAAGCGGAGAACUUGCGUGCCUCCAGAUCCAAGACUGGUUCCCUGCAGCUCGUCUGCAAGUCGGAACCAAACACGGACCAGCUUGAAUAUGAGGUCACAGAAGAGCAUCAGUCUCCAGCUGGAAUCAGGUAGGAAGCUCUUAUUUGGUGGUAUUCCUUCCUAUGAAGUGUUUCAGGAAGGGGAAAAUACGGGCUUGAGUGGGGUGUGUGUGUGUGUGUGUGUGUGUGUGUGUGUGUGUGUGUCCAAAAUAAACCCUCCUGUGAAGGGUUCUGUAGGAAGGAUAGUAGUUCUGUUCUCCUUCAGCCCUGGGCCUUUCUGUCUCUGGAUUGCAGGUGGACUGCAGACGUCAGGUCAUAUUGUAUAAGAUUCAAUCUGGGCGUUUCACCUGGUAGCUUUUUCCCUUCUGCAGUAGAUGCUGUAAUUGGGUGGGUUGAUGAGAGGAGACUGCUCUGCCCAGCCYGUUUUGGCUGUCAUCGUGUUCCUUAGUCGGUGCAAGCCGUUAACGGUGUCUUUCCCAUCCUGGGAGGUGRUGCGUGCAUGUUCUUGCAGCAGUGCUUAAGCUGCUGCUGCUAAACUUGUCUG
rnacentral:lncRNA from 1 species